rnacentral:rRNA from 1 species
AUUGAACGCUGGCGGCAUGCCUUACACAUGCAAGUCGAACGGCAGCACGGGGGCAACCCUGGUGGCGAGUGGCGAACGGGUGGGUAAUGCAUCGGAACGUGUCCUCUUGUGGGGGAUAACCAGUCGAAAGAUUGGCUAAUACCGCAUGAGAUCGAGAGAUGAAAGCGGGGGACCCGAGGGUAACUUCGGGCCUCGCGCGAGAGGAGCGGCCGAUGCCGGAUUAGCAGUUGGUGGGGUAAGAGCCUACCAAGGCGACGAUCCGUAGCUGGUCUGAGAGGACGACCAGCCACACUGGGACUGAGACACGGCCCAGACUCCUACGGGAGGCAGCAGUGGGGAAUUUUGGACAAUGGCGCAAGCCUGAUCCAGCCAUGCCGCGUGUGUGAAGAAGGCCUGGUUGUAA